GGCGAACGGGUGAGUAACACGUGGGCAACCUGCCCCGGACACCGGGAUAACUCAGGGAAACCUGGGCUAAUACCGGAUACCUCGGCGUGAUCGCAUGGUCGUGCCGGGAAAGCUCCGACGGUCCGGGAUGGGCCCGCGGCCUAUCAGCUUGUUGGUGGGGUAACGGCCUACCAAGGCGGCGACGGGUAGCUGGUCUGAGAGGACGGCCAGCCACACUGGGACUGAGACACGGCCCAGACUCCUACGGGAGGCAGCAGUAGGGAAUCUUGCGCUAAUGCGCGAAAGCGUGACGCAGCGACGCCGCGUGCGGGAUGAAGGCCCUCGGGUCGUAAACCGCUUUCGGCAGGGACGAAGCGAAAGUGACGGUACCUGCAGAAGAAGUCCCGGCUAACUACGUGCCAGCAGCCGCGGUAACACGUAGGGGACGAGCGUUGUCCGGAUUCAUUGGGCGUAAAGCGCGCGUAGGCGGCUCGGAAAGUCGGUCGUGAAAUCCUGGGGCUCAACCCCGGAACUGCGUCCGAUACUUCCGAGCUGGAGGCAGGUAGGGGAGAUCGGAAUUCCUGGUGUAGCGGUGAAAUGCGCAGAUAUCAGGAGGAACACCGGUGGCGAAGGCGGAUCUCUGGGCCUUGCCUGACGCUGAGGCGCGAAAGCUAGGGGAGCGAACAGGAUUAGAUACCCUGGUAGUCC
rnacentral:rRNA from 1 species